rnacentral:rRNA from 1 species
GACGAGCGCUGGCGGCGUGCCUAAUACAUGCAAGUCGAGCGCAGGAAAUCAUCCGAACCCUUCGGGGGGACGUUGAUGGAAUGAGCGGCGGACGGGUGAGUAACACGUAAAGAACCUGCCCUCAGGUCUGGGAUAACCACGAGAAAUCGGGGCUAAUACCGGAUGGGUCAUCGGACCGCAUGGUCCGAGGAUGAAAGGCGCUUCGGCGUCGCCUGGGGAUGGCUUUGCGGUGCAUUAGCUAGUUGGUGGGGUAAUGGCCCACCAAGGCGACGAGGCAUAGCCGACCUGAGAGGGUGAUCGGCCACACUGGGACUGAGACACGGCCCAGACUCCUACGGGAGGCAGCAGUAGGGAAUCUUCCACAAUGGACGAAAGUCUAAUGGAGCAACGCCGCGUGAACGAUGAAGGCCUUCGGGUCGUAAAGUUCUGUUGUAAGGGAAGAACAAGUGCCGCAGGCAAUGGCGGCACCUUGACGGUACCUUGCGAGAAAGCCACGGCUAACUACGUGCCAGCCGCCGCCGUAA